rnacentral:rRNA from 1 species
ACGCUGGCGGCGUGCUUAACACAUGCAAGUCGAACGAAGAUACCAAGCUUGCUUGGUUGAUUAGUGGCGAACGGGUGAGUAACACGUGAGUAACCUGCCCCUUACUUUCCUGGAUAACUGCUCGAUAGGGUAGCUAAUACGGGAUAUUCUGACCAUCCUGCAUGGGUUGGUUUGGAAAGGUUGUUUUUCUGGUAAGGGAUGGGCUCGCGGCCUAUCAGCUUGUUGGUGGGGUGAUGGCCUACCAAGGCUUUGACGGGUAGCCGGCCUGAGAGGGUGGACGGUCACACUGGGACUGAGAUACGGCCCAGACUCCUACGGGAGGCAGCAGUGGGGAAUAUUGCACAAUGGGCGCAAGCCUGAUGCAGCGACGCCGCGUGAGGGAUGAAGGCCUUCGGGUUGUAAACCUCUUUCGUCAGGGAACAAGGCACUGCUUUUUUGGUGGUGUUGAGGGUACCUGGAUAAGAAGCGCCGGCUAACUACGUGCCAGCAGCCGCGGUAAUACGUAGGGCGCAAGCGUUGUCCGGAAUUAUUGGGCGUAAAGAGCUCGUAGGCGGCUGGUCACGUCUGUCGUGAAAACUUCCGGCUCAACCGGGGGCUUGCGGUGGGUACGGGCCGGCUAGAGUGCGGUAGGGGUAACUGGAACUCCUGGUGUAGCGGUGGAAUGCGCAGAUAUCAGGAAGAACACCGAUGGCGAAGGCAGGUUACUGGGCCGUUACUGACGCUGAGGAGCGAAAGCGUGGGGAGCGAACAGGAUUAGAUACCCUGGUAGUCCACGCCGUAAACGUUGGGCACUAGGUGUGAGGCUCCUUUCCGGGGGUUUUGCGCCGUAGCUAACGCAUUAAGUGCCCCGCCUGGGGAGUACGGCCGCAAGGCUAAAACUCAAAGGAAUUGACGGGGGCCCGCA